CAGAGUUAUCCAACUCCCAAACCCAUGUAGAACUUAUCCUCUUUGUUGCCUCGGCGCAAGCUACCCGGGACCUCGCGCCCCGGGCGGCCCGCCGGCGGACAAACCAAAACUCUUGUUAUCUUAGUUGAUUAUCUGAGUGUCUUAUUUAAUAAGUCA
rnacentral:misc_RNA from 1 species